AGCUUUGCACAGUGGCAGUAUCGUAGCCAAUGAGGUUUAUCCGAGGCACGAUUAUUGCUAAUUGAAAAGAAAGGCAAUAGAAAAUCCAAGGGUAAAAAGAAAAAUCAUCUCAGGAGAUACAGAAAUUUACAUAAGUGA